rnacentral:rRNA from 2 species
UACGAAGGGUGCGAGCGUUAAUCGGAAUUACUGGGCGUAAAGCGCGCGUAGGUGGUUUUGUAAGCGGAAUGUGAAAUCCCCGGGCUUAACCUGGGAACUGCAUGCCGAACUGCAAGGCUAGAGUAUAGUAGAGGGGUGUGGAAUUCCCGGUGUAGCGGUGAAAUGCGUAGAUAUCGGGAGGAACAUCAGUGGCGAAGGCGGCACCCUGGACUGAUACUGACACUGAGGCGCGAAAGCGUGGGUAGCGAACAGG